rnacentral:rRNA from 1 species
AUGCAGAUUGGUAGCAGUGGGCCACCACUGAGGAACAGGGCAUCACCUUCAAGACUUUUUCUCCUAAACAGUGGCCUCGAUGAUACACAAAAGGAUGCCAUUGGUGAUAUAAGCUUGGGGGGUGUGCUUGAUAUCGGGACAAGAGGAGAUCUUGUGAAGUUUGUGACGAAGUGUUAUGAUCCAGAGUUGUCGCAGCUUGUUAUCCCAGAUAGGGGGAAGAUCCCAGUUGAUGCAGCAAGCGUAGAAAGAAUCCGGGGUUUGCCAAGGGGGGCAGGGAAGGUUGCAUAUGAAGUGGAGCCAGACGUAGUUAGGUUGUUCAAUGAGAUGUUCGACAUCCCGACAGGGCCCGCGCCAUCAGUGACCGAGUGGUGCAAAAUGAUAAAUGAUAUGGGAGCUGUUGCGGACGACAAGUUCUUAAGUGAUUGGCUGGUUGUUGUUUAUAGUUGUUUUCUUGCACCGACGACCAGCUUGAAGGUGUCACCGCACGCAUACUCAGCUGCGCUGAAUCCACGUGAGGUUGUGAAUUCAGAUGUUUGCCAGUUUGUCGUCGACCAACUUAGGCUUGCUUUCAUGGGUUUGGGAGACAAGAAGAAUACUAUAUGCUGCUGCCUUUUCCACCUAGUGGUAAAAUGA